ACUCCCACUUCUUGGCCUGACAUUUCUUAAUUGUUCUUGUUUUCUUGUAUAUGUGUUCCUGAGAUCACAUAGUAUAGAAUGAUUCUGUUUUAUAAUGGCUUGUCUCUAUUACUGCAAGAAUAAUCAUGGUGGAUUUUCACUUGAUAAUUUAAAAUGUAUUUUAGUUCCACAUCUUAAGGCACACAUAUAUACAAACCUUCAGACACUACAAGGGGUGCUUUAAAUUUUCAAAUUGAUCCAGAGCAUUUAUGUUGUGAAAAGAAACAAAAUAAAACUGACAAAGAACAGCCAUAUUGUCACAGUUUCAAACUAUCUUGGUGUCCUUUCACAUGCACGAAAUGACAGUUGUGAAAAAAAAAAAAGAAAGAAAAGAAAAGAAAACAUGAUGUGGCCCCAGGUAAACAUUUCUAAGUUCUUGAAUGUAAUUUAGGCAGCAAAAAAAUUUUUUAAUGUUUUUCAUCUAUUCUGAUUAUGGCAACUGGAAUUUGUUGUAGGGUCUUUGGUGAAUAGCUGUGCUUGCUUUUUAUCUGUUAAAUAAGUCUGAAUCAUUAUGCUUUUCGUUUAUUUAUUAAACCCCUUUGUCAAAGAAAACUUAAAAAUUCAUCACAUUAAUCUCUAUACAAAUUAUUAUGAAUCCAAAAAGAAAAUAACUGAAUACAUGUUAUUGGUAGUAUAUUUGUCCAUUUUAGCUUUCUGUUAUUUUGCCUUGAUUUCUUUCAAAAUCUGUGCAAAUGUUAAUAGUUUAUCAGCCAUACUGGUGUUUAAUUUUUGUUCAAGGGUUCAAACAGGAAGUUAAAUAAUCACAGCAAGGCCUUUGAUAUAUCAAAAUUAAGGAUAUCUUGUAGACUGUGAAAUUCCACAAGACAGUCAGGAUAUAACACUAUAGUAAAUGAAGUGCAUGAGUAUGGGAGUGUUAAAGACCAGAAAUAUUGAUGAAUUAAAUUUGAUUCUAGAAGCUACAAAAACCAAUCAAGUAAUUAAGUAGAUAGUACAUUUUUUCUUGUUUUUAGGGGACCUGAUAGAUCAGAUCAACUCCAGUUCGCUUACUUCCUACAUAGUGUGUUUUAUUAACUAGAAAGCAUAGACUUUACAAACAGCACUUUUAUUGCUCCUUUUUCCUAGGAAAAGAGCCAUGGGAUUCUUAGCUUCUUUAUUACAAAAGCAGUCAGAUAUUUUACACACUAAUAAAGACAACAGCUGGCACUUGAGACAACUAAAGGUAGAUGAUAAAUACUGUGAGCAACAAAUUUGUGGAUUCUUUAGCAAGGAUGUUCAUUAAAACGUGGGGCUCUGCCUAUCACCCAAACACUGCCAAGAUUUUGAUUAGCUAUUUACAGCUAUAUUAAAGUGAUUAAGUAUAACUAGUUUGUCUAGUGCUCUUGAAUACUUCCUUUAGAUCACAGAGUCCAACAAGGCAGACUAGAGGGAAACUGCAAGGAAAAUGCCUUUAUUCAAAAGUGCAUCCUUAUUUCACAGAUCCUAACUAUCUUAUAGCUCCAAUAUAUAUUUUUGUUGUUCUAUACAUGUACAAUAUUCAUACACGCACACAACUCUAGAUAAUGCAUUUAUUAUUAGUCACUAUUUCUUUGUUUUUUUGAUCUUUUCUUCUUUGUUUGUUGUUUGUUUUCAAGACAUGGUUUCUCGGUGUAGCCUUGGCUGUCCUGGAAUUCACUCUGUAGACUAGGCUGGCCUGGAACUACAAAAUCCACCUGCCUCUGCCUCCCAAGUGCUGGGAUUAAAGGCGUGCGCAACUACAGUCUGGCUUAGUCGCUAUUUCUUGUCUAUGAUAAUAUUCUUCCUUAUCCAAUUUCUAAAUUAAAUAGACAUUAAGUCCUUCUGAAUACAUGUCCAACCACUAAACUGUUCUGUUCAUAAACUAUAAAUUUAAAAAAAAAACUAUAUAUUAUGGCAUUUGAAAACAGGAAACCAUCAUCAGUAUCUCUCAUUAUUAAAUAUUGUGGUGGAAAAAUGAAAUCUGUGCAUGUGAAAAUGAUACUUUUUAAAAUGCCUCGUUGUAGCUGUUGACAUAGAUAAAGUCUAAUCUUGGAAUUCAACAGUAGUCUGACAAGGGGAUUAAGGAAAUCUUUUUCAGAGAGGAAACUAGUUUUAAGAUGGUCCUUAUGUGAUAGGAACUAUAAUUUCCAAUCCAUCAUGAAAAUAUUAAGGGAUAUCAGAAUUAUAACUCCACUUCCUGCCUCCUUGUUAAGAAUUCAAAUCUCUACUGAAUAAAUGGCAAGAAUGGAAAUUUUAUUCCAUAUAAUAAACAUAUGUGGCAAGUAGUACUAUUGAUAAUGAGGAUUCCUCUCAAGGCUUAGUCUCACCAUUCGAAGGACUUAAGAAUAGAAGCUUGAGGACAACUUUUCAAGAGUUUGAAAUAAAAAACCCAGGUGAGGCAAACUGUAAAUUUUGCCAGCUGCUUAGAAGAAGAAAAUGGGGAAGAGAUUUAACAACAAAAAAGCCACACUCUUAAGCUAAGUAAGCAGGGUGAUGAGCCAUGUGGCUAUGAAGCAGCAUUAUGACCAAGAGGGGAGCUUUAAAGAAUGAAGCCCAAAGUAUAAGAUCAAAGUAUUCAAAGAAAGCAUUCUUAGAAAAUGCAUAGGAAGAAGGAAAGCGAGGGUGAGUCAGAAAAGCAGACUGGUUUAGCAUGGUUGCAUACCUAUGGCUAUUUGAGAAACUUCACUAAGGUGCAGGACUCCUGGAAAGGAAAGCAGAUAUCAAGGAGAUGAUUAAUGUCAUCCUCCAGCCCCUAUACCCCUCUCAUUUUAGCAAGAAUUAAGAUGAAUCUGCUGUGGUAUUGGGUGGGGGAAAAGGAAUGAAGAAGCCCUGAGGGCCAGCAGAAAGAAUGGAAACAAGCAACCUCGGGAGGUAGGAGGUUGGGGGUGGUGGGGCCACCCUCCAGAAUGUACCAGAGAACUGGGAGGUGAGAGACUCUCAGGAAUCAAAAGGAGGGAACUUAGAUGAAAUGUCCUACAGUGAGAAGAUGGAACUUGUAGAGCCCACCUCCAGCAGAAAGUCAGGGCAUUAAGUGAGGGAUGGGUUGCCAUCCCACAGUCAAAACUCUGACCCAUAAUUGUUUCUGUCUGAAAGAACUGCAGGGAUGGAAAUACAGAGGAACCUGAGGAAAAGAAGGUCCAGUGACAGGCCCAAAGUGAGAUCCAGCUCAAGGGGAGUCCCCUAGUUCUGACACUAUUACUGAGGCUAUGGAGCACUCACAAAAAGGGACCUAUCAUGACUGUCCUCUGAAAGACCCAACAAACAGUUGUAAGAGUCUAAUGUUGAUAUUUGCACUCAAUCAAUGGACAGAAGCUGCUGGGCCCUGUGGUUGAAUUAGAGAAAACUGGAAGAAGCUGAAGAGGAAGGUGACCCUAUAGGAAAACAACCAGUCUCAAUUAAUCUGGACCUCCAAGAUCUCUCAAACACUGGACCACCAACCAGGCAGCACACACCAGCUGAUAUGAGACCCCCAACACAUAUAGAGAAGAAGAUUGCUGAGUGUGGGUUUAUUCAGAGAAGAUGCAUGCACCUAACCCUCAAUAUACUGGAGGCCUCAAGGAGUUUAGAGGUCCGGUGGGGUGGGGGUUAGGGGGUGGAGACAUCCUCAUGGAGACAGGGCAGAGAGGAGUUAUGGGAUGUGGAGCAGUCUGAGUGUUGACCAAGAGGAGAAUAAAAUCUGGAGUUUGAAAGAAAGAGAAAAAGAAAGAAAGAAAGAAAGAAAGAAAGAAAGAAAGAAAGAAAG
rnacentral:lncRNA from 1 species